GAGGUGCUGUGAAUAUGUCCCAGGGACAAAUGGUCUGUUUUAGGGACAGCUGUGAAUGCAUCAAUAAAAGAUGCAGCAUCAGUCAGUUACUAAAUGACCCUUUAGGCUCUGGAAAUAAGUAACAAUUAACAAAAACUACUCUCAAGCAAGAGAGAAUACUGUUCCCUUCAGGAAAGGUGGAAACUUGAAGCCGAGAGCCAAAAAUGCCAGUUCAUGUGUCCUAAGGGAGCUUUUUCAGAAGAAAAACACAGAAAUACUGCCUGUAUGGGUGGCACAGAGCAGCCCCUGUCUCAGCACAGUGUACCUUUCCACAAGUUUAUUUUUUCUGGGAUUAUUUUGCUACCUACCUCCCAAAGCUUGCUUUACAGAAUCGUAGUGCUGUGUAAUAUACACCUAGAGAGAAAAUAUAGAGGGUCAGGCUCUUUGCUGGCAUGAGCGAGUCAGUGAUGACGCAGCAACAGUCAGCAGGGGUGGAAAAUGGCCCUUUUAGCUAAAUAUAUGAAAUAUACAUAUAUUUUCCCCAAAGGAUAAGCUGGAAAUCAUAGUGGUAUAUUCAAGGGGAGCCAAGGGAAAAAAGUGAACAUGAAUAAAAGGCAGGCACAAAGCCAAGAGGUUUGAAGUUAGAGCCACGUUUACAUGUAAAGCCACGUUUACACACUGAGGCUUAAAGAGCUCCUUUACUGUGACUCCUUUGCCAGUGCUGCCAAUUCCUGCUGGCAUAGGAAGAGGUGCCAGUCCCCAGAAAAUUGGGACAUCUGAGUGGAUGAAGGGUCUGAAUGUAGGCAACCCCUUGCAGGGGCUUGCUGGGAUCUGUCUGGAAAUUCUUUCUCCUCCUCCUCCUCCACAUGCGGUGACUCCUAAAAUGCUGCAAGCAGUGGGGAAAGGAGCAGUAGGGCUUCCAGGGUGAAAUCUUCAGCUGAAAUCUUGGCCUUUCCUGGCUGGUGGGAAUGCGGCCCAGACUUCUGUCCAGAUGGGAAUUCAUUCCCUGUGCCCUGAGCUCCAAACCCGCUCUGUUUGGCUGGCACCAGAAGCGCUCCUGCAGAGCUCAGCCCUUGCACGAGAUGUCAGCGGUGACACAGUGCAGGCGUCGCUGCUGCUUUGUGAACACCGAGGGGAACUUGGGAUCGGAAAUUCCUUACUGGAUAAGAAAGGUAGAGGCAUGCAGCAGCCUGCUCGCUCGUGGUCACGUCCUGGGAGGAGGAGGAAGGUAACCUUCCUCUCUGCCGCUCGCCUACAGGAAGGGAUGUCACAUGAGGGCCCCCAUCUCGGCUCUAUCUGAGCCCUAAAUCUCAUUUAUUCAGGCAAAACUCCCACCGUUUGCGGCGAGGAGUUUUGCCAGAGUAAACACGGCAGAUCUGGGUCUUCGCCCUGUUUUGUUUGCAUUGAUUGCUCUGAGGGGAAACCCACGCUGGAGCUGCGCAUCCCACCCUUCCCCGUGUUGCCCAAUGCACAUGCACAAACCUCUAAACUCCUUCAGGGUUUGGGAGGUUCUGGGGGGAUCCUAUCCUGCCUCUUUCCAUCCUGUCACCACGUGGGAGCAGCUCAGGAGGACACAUCUGGUGUUCAGGCUUUGCGCCUGGUUGUGCUGCUGUUUUGGCUGAACUCAUCCCUGCCUCGGGAGCUGGGGUGCUGGGAUGCAGCUCCACGGAGCGUUUGGGGGGUUCCUGUGUGUGUGCUGCAGUUGGGAAGUGCUGUCCAACCCUCCCCUUCCUGCUGCUUGCUUUUGUCCUGGUUGGAAGAGCUAUAAACCCUCCUGGUUUAGGGCAUGCAGCAAAUUCGGACCGAUUUAAGACAGGAGGAGUCCCCCUGGGAGCUGGAUACGAGUUUGCUCUGUGCUGCCAAUAAUUUGGGGUGUAAACUGGAAUGACUGGGAAACGUGCACAACGCCAGCUCUGGAUCCCUGAUUUUGGUGUAAACAAAGGGCUAAAUGCGGUGUGAGAUGAGUUUAGAUGGAUUGAUAGCACUUGGCAACUUAAACAGCCUUUCCGUGUUCCCUUGAGUUAUUUCUGCUGUCACAGAGUGUUCCUCUUUUUAAUUAGGAUUUUUUAAAUAUAGCUACUGUAGAGUAUUUUACAGUGUGUGAAUAAAUGGUAACAGAAUAAUAUAAUGAUGUUAGAGAUUAUGAUUUGCCAUUAAAUACCAUACAGAUAUC